rnacentral:lncRNA from 1 species
ACCGUGCAAGGGUCAUAGAUACACAUGCAUAUCAUGGGCAAUGUGCAAAUAAUCACGCCUGCAAGUCUCUAGCCAUACAUGCUUAUGCUCUUGCUACAGCAGCGAGGGAUCAUUUUGUUAUAAGGCAACUCACACUGUCUUGGUCUCUCUUGACAAGAGUUCUUGAUGAUCUGGUGAUCUGAGUUUACAGGCAAAACAGUCAGGCCAAGUAUUUCUGUGUUAAUCUUACAGCUGUGGAACAGAGGUAACUUGUCCCUGAACACAUGAAGAGCUGAAGUCAAAGAUGGGAAUGGGACUCAGAUGUCCAGCAUGAGCAGCUUGUGAUGACUGUCUGGGAAGGCACCUUGUGGAAAAAAGUUCUGAAACCCAGGAGGAAGGGAAGAGGCUUGAAAACCUUGCGUCUGAGCAGGGACAAGGAUGUGUCUGUUGGCAAAGGGUAUACAGCAGCCCAGUGCACUGUUAGUGAUGGAACUCUGCAGUACAAUGAUUUGAUGAGGCCAUGAUCUUGGAAAGAUACAAAAAGAGAUGGGCUGUUUCAGGCGAAUCAUGAAGAAAUCCUGAAAUAUAAAGGUACAGUCAAGUCUGG